UACGAAGGGGGCUAGCGUUGUUCGGAAUUACUGGGCGUAAAGGGCGCGUAGGCGGACUGGUCAGUUUGGUGUGAAAGCCCGGGGCUCAACCUCGGAACUGCAUCAAAUACUUCCAGUCUAGAAUCCCGGAGGGGAGUGUGGAAUUUCUAGUGUAGAGGUGAAAUUCGUAGAUAUUAGAAAGAACACCGGUGGCGAAGGCGACACUCUGGACGGGUAUUGACGCUGAGGCGCGAAAGCGUGGGGAGCGAACGGG
rnacentral:rRNA from 1 species